rnacentral:rRNA from 1 species
UCCGGUUGAUCCUGCCGGAGGCCGCUGCUAUGGGGGUCCGACUAAGCCAUGCGAGUCAUGGGGCGCCUUGCGCGCACCGGCGGACGGCUCAGUAACACGUCGGUAACCUACCCUCGGGAGGGGGAUAACCCCGGGAAACUGGGGCUAAUCCCCCGUAGGCCUGAGGUACUGGAAGGUCCUCAGGCCGAAAGGGUCUUUGACCGCCCGAGGAUGGGCCGGCGGCCGAUUAGGUAGUUGGUGGGGUAACGGCCCACCAAGCCGAAGAUCGGUACGGGCCAUGAGAGUGGGAGCCCGGAGAUGGACACUGAGACACGGGUCCAGGCCCUACGGGGCGCAGCAGGCGCGAAACCUCCGCAAUGCUCGAAAGAGCGACGGGGGGACCCCCAGUGCCGUGGCAUCGCCACGGCUUUUCCGGAGUGUAAAGAGCUCCGGGAAUAAGGGCUGGGCAAGGCCGGUGGCAGCCGCCGCGGUAAUACCGGCGGCCCGAGUGGUGGCCGCUAUUAUUGGGCCUAAAGCGUCCGUAGC